UUCGUUGAAUGCUUGGGUUGCCUCCCAAGAAGCGCUUGAUUUAACGUCUUUAGCCGGACGAAUCUUUCCUUUAACCUCCCCUCGGCUCCAGAGCAUGGAAUUUAUCUUUUAAUGGGAGGUGAUACUUGAAAUGAUUCGGCAAUGGUUUUAAAUUCAAGAGUGGGUGCCUGAAUCAUCAAAAUAAGAAACAUGUUAGUAUAAAUUAAAAUUAAAAUUGGAGAAGAUGGCUUAUUUUCUUUUUCCGACACAAACUCAAUGACAAACACCACAUCUGUGAACAUUUCCGGGACUUUGAACUUGGCCAGGUUUACUAUGAUGGUUGUGGUUUGUCCCGUGUCAUCAAACUCAACUGCUUUGGGCUUGAUUGUCUCAUGCACAGCCCUUGGAUGAAUUCUUGAUCUGCUUCAACCACUUCAUUCUCUUGAAUCCCUUUUCUUGGUGUGCAAGGUUCUUUGAACAUUUCAAUAAUAUCGGGAACUUGUUUUGGUGCACCAAGAAUUAGGAUAUCACUUUGCACCUUUAGAAGAGCUUCCACAAUGUCUUUUUC
rnacentral:lncRNA from 1 species